rnacentral:rRNA from 1 species
CCUACGGGAGGCAGCAGUGAGGAAUAUUGGUCAAUGGACGAGAGUCUGAACCAGCCAAGUAGCGUGAAGGAUGACUGCCCUAUGGGUUGUAAACUUCUUUUAUAUGGGAAUAAAAUGUUCCAUGUGUGGGAUUUUGUAUGUACCAUAUGAAUAAGGAUCGGCUAACUCCGUGCCAGCAGCCGCGGUAAUACGGAGGAUCCGAGCGUUAUCCGGAUUUAUUGGGUGUAAAGGGAGCGUAGGUGGAUUGUUAAGUCAGUUGUGAAAGUUUGCGGCUCAACCGUAAAAUUGCAGUUGAAACUGGCAGUCUUGAGUACAGUAGAGGUGGGCGGAAUUCGUGGUGUAGCGGUGAAAUGCUUAGAUAUCACGAAGAACUCCGAUUGCGAAGGCAGUUCACUGGACUGCAACUGACACUGAGGCUCGAAAGUGUGGGUAUCAAACAGGAUUAGAUACCCUUGUAGUC